CGGAGAAGCGCCGCACCGCUCCCUCGUCCGUGCGGCGGAAAAAAACGUCCGUCCCUUUAAGGGCCGCGCACCGCAUAGUACUCCUUAUCAUCUCGUGGAGUGCUCUCCACCACUCAUUCUCUAUGUAGAAGCUCCACGCAGGGUUGUUCGAGGAGGCCGUGCCUGGGGAGAAGGCCACCGUCGCCGUCGGGCGUCGGCUAGCGUCGAGGGAAGAAGCUCGCAACGGGGAUGCCGCCACCGUCGGGCAAUCGUCGAGACCGCCUCCGCUGGGCACUCCUCGAGGAAGGCCGCCGCCGUCGUGUUGGUGUCGAGGCCGCUGCCGCCGGCACACGCCUGGGGAGAAGGCCGCCGUCGCCGGCGUAGCCGCCUCCGUCGGCUGGCGUUGAGGGAAGCCGCUCGCGCCGGGGAACGCCGCCGCCGUCAGGCUGGCGUCAAUGGAGGCCGCUGCCGGUAGGCAGAGGGCACGCGCCGGGGGACGCCGCCGUCUGGCUGGCGUCAACGGAGGCCGCUGCCGCUGGGCACGCACCGGGGGACCCCGCCGUCGUCGGGCUGGCUUCGAGCGCGCGGGGCAUUCCUCAAGGGAGGUCGUCGCCAGCGUGCACGCGGCAGGGAUGCUCUUUGCCGACGAGGAGGCUGUGGGGAGGUCGCUGACGAGGCGAAUCGCAGACUUUGUAUCCAACACCACAAGAGGUCGUACUGCGGUGAACCGCCGAGCAGCUCGCUGGGCAGAUGUCCGCACACAUUUGGGCGCUGCCUCCGCUGAGAGCAGCCGCACGAGGCCAAUGACAUGCACCAGGGAGAGUAGAAUCUGGAAGAAACGGCCGUAGAAGAAGUCGAGCUCUAUACUCUACACUACGCAAUAAUGAUCAGCAAGUGAGCAGAAUCAAAGACCCGGAAAAUCUAUGUCCUUGAAUUAAGCUAAAUUUAACCUUGUAAUACCUGGUAAUUUUGCCAGGAUCUGACAUGGAGUUGCUGGAGUUUGCUGAUGCAUCUUUUCGUUCUCUCGUUUUUCCUGUUACGUCUUGUGAGACUUGGUUGUGUCUGAUUUGGGUAGGCAGGGGCCCAGGGCUGAUGCUUGUGCGCUUGACCCAGUGAAAAAAGAGUGUGUUGUAAAUUGAA